GCGGGAAUAGCUCAGUUGAUAGAGCAUUAGCCUUCCAAACUGAGGGUCGCGGGUUUGAGUCCCGUUUCCCGCU
rnacentral:tRNA from 1 species